ACGAACGCUGGCGGCCGUGCCUAACACAUGCAAGUCGAGCGAGAAAGUAGCAAUACGAGUAAAGCGGCGGGACGGGGUGAGUAACACGUAGGUUAAUCUACCUUUUAGUGGGGGAUAACGUUCCGAAAGGAACGCUAAUACCGCAUAAGGCAUCCUGGUCGUAGGACCGGUAUGGAAAGGGGGCCUCUCGCAAGAGGGUCUCGCUGAUAGAUGAGCCUGCGUCCCAUUAGGUUAGUUGGUGAGGUAAUGGCUCACCAAGCCAACGAUGGGUAGCUGGUCUGAGAGGACGACCAGCCACACUGGAAACUGACACACGGUCCAGACUCCUACGGGAGGCCAGGCAGUGGGGAAUAUUGCGCAAUGGAGGAAACUCUGACGCAGCGACGCCGCGUGGGGUGAUGAAGGCCUUCGGGUUGUAAAGCCCUGUCGGCUGGGGAAAAAGGUGAGCGUGCUAAUACCACGCAAGCUUGAUGGUACCAGCAAAGGAAGCACCGGCUAACUCUGUGCCAGGCAGCCGCGGUAAUACAGAGGGUGCAAGCGUUGUUCGGAAUUACUGGGCGUAAAGGGCGUGGUAGGCGGUUGAACAAGUCAGAUGUGAAAUCCCGGGGCUUAACUCCGGAAGUGCAUUUGAAACUGUUCGGCUUAGAGUGUUUGUAGAGGAUGGCGGAAUACCCAGUGGAGAGGUGAAAUUCGUAGAUAUCUGGGAGGAACACCUGGUGGCGGAAGGCGGCGCACUGGGCCACAACUGACGCUGAGGCGCGAGAAGCGUAGGGGAGCAAACGGGAUUAGAUACCCCCUGGUAGUCCUGGCCUGUAAACGAUGGCUGACUUGGUGUCCGCCGGGUUUAUUAGUACCCCGGGGUGCCGGAGCUAACGUUAACACGUUAAGUCAGCCGCCUGGGGAGUACGGUCGCAAAGGCUGAAACUCAAAGGGAAUUGACGGGGACCCGCACAAGCGGUGGAGCAUGUGGUUUAAUUCGACGCAACGCGAAAGAACCUUACCUGGGCUAGAAUGCGGCGGAUAAGCCCCAGAGAUGGGGCGAUCCGGGUAACCGGCUCCUGCCUGCAAGGUGCUGCAUGGCUGUCGUCCAGCUCGUGUCGUGAGAUGUUGGGUUAAGUCCCGCAACGAGCGCAACCCUUACCGUGAGUUUACCAUCAUUCAGUUGGGGACUCUCGCGGAAACUUGCCGGUGAUAAACCGGAGGAAGGUGGGGAUGACGUCAAGUCCUCAUGGCCUUUAUGUCCAGGGCUACACACGUGCCUACAAAUGGCCGGUACAAAACCGUCGCCGAAGUCGCGAGACGGAGCCAAUCGGAAAAAACCGGUCUCAGUUCGGAUUGCAGUCUGCAACUCGACUGCAUGAAGUUGGAAUCGCUAGUAAUCGCAGAUCAGCAUGCUGCGGUGAAUACGUUUCCCGGGUCUUGUACACAACCGCCCGUCACAUCACGAAAAGUGGGCUGUACUAGAAGACGUUGAGCUAACCGCAAGGGGGCAGGCGUCCACGGUAUGGUUUCAUGAUUGGGGUG
rnacentral:rRNA from 1 species